rnacentral:rRNA from 1 species
UACGUAGGGUGCAAGCGUUAAUCGGAAUUACUGGGCGUAAAGGGCGCGUAGGCGGCCUGCUAAGUCGAACGUGAAAUCCCCGGGCUCAACCCGGGAACUGCGUCCGAUACUGGCAGGCUUGAAUCCGGGAGAGGGAUGUGGAAUUCCAGGUGUAGCGGUGAAAUGCGUAGAUAUCUGGAGGAACACCGGUGGCGAAGGCGGCAUCCUGGACCGGUAUUGACGCUGAUGCGCGAAAGCCAGGGGAGCAAACGGG